UACGGGGGGGGCAAGCGUUGUUCGGAAUUACUGGGCGUAAAGGGCUCGUAGGCGGCCAACUAAGUCGGAUGUGAAAUCCCCAGGCCUAACCUGGGAACUGCAUCCGAUACUGGAUGGCUUGAAUCCGGGAGAGGGAUGCAGAAUUCCAGGUGUAGCGGUGAAAUGCGUAGAUAUCUGGAGGAAUACCGGUGGCGAAGGCGGGUCUCUGGGCCGAUACUGACGCUGAGGAGCGAAAGCGUGGGGAGCGAACAGG
rnacentral:rRNA from 1 species